rnacentral:misc_RNA from 1 species
GAUGAAGAACGCAGCGAAAUGCGAUACUUGGUGUGAAUUGCAGAAUCCCGUGAACCAUCGAGUCUUUGAACGCAAGUUGCGCCUCAAGCCAUUAGGUUGAGGGCACGUCUGCCUGGGCGUCACAUAUCGUUGCCUGAUGCCAGUUUCCUCGUGAUGGGUGACUUUGCAGGGCGAAUGAUGGCUUCCCGUGAGCAUUGUUGCCUCAUGGUUGGUUGAAAAUUGAGUCCUUGGUAGGGAGCGCCGUGAUAGAUGGUGGUUGAGUGACGAACGAGACCCAAUCAUGUGAGACCCCUACCGAAUUUGGCCUUCAUGACCCACAUGCGUCUUUGGAACGCUCAUGACGAGACCUCAGGUCAGGCGGGGCUACCCGCUGAGUUUAAGCAUAUCAAUAAGCGGAGGA